rnacentral:rRNA from 1 species
GACGAACGCUGGCGGCGUGCUUAACAUAUGCAAGUCGAACGGAAAGGCCCUGCUUGCAGGGUACUCGAGUGGCGAACGGGUGAGUAACACGUGGGUGAUCUGCCCUGCGCUUCGGGAUAAGCCUGGGAAACUGGGUCUAAUACCGGAUAGGAGCCAUUUUUAGUGUGAUGGUUGGAAAGUUUUUUCGGUGUAGGAUGAGCUCGCGGCCUAUCAGCUUGUUGGUGGGGUAAUGGCCUACCAAGGCGGCGACGGGUAGCCGGCCUGAGAGGGUGGACGGCCACAUUGGGACUGAGAUACGGCCCAGACUCCUACGGGAGGCAGCAGUGGGGAAUAUUGCACAAUGGGCGCAAGCCUGAUGCAGCGACGCCGCGUGGGGGAUGACGGCCUUCGGGUUGUAAACUCCUUUCGCUAGGGACGAAGCUUUUUGUGACGGUACCUAGAUAAGAAGCACCGGCUAACUACGUG